rnacentral:rRNA from 1 species
ACGACUCUCAGCAACGGAUAU